rnacentral:rRNA from 1 species
UCUCAAAGAUUAAGCCAUGCAUGUCUCAGUGCAAGCCAAAGUAAGGUGAAACCGCGGAUGGCUCAUUAAAUCAGUUAUGGUUCCUUAGAUGGUGGACAGUUACUUGGAUAACUGUGGUAAUUCUAGAGCUAAUACAUGCAACUCAGUCCCGGCCGGAAGCGGCAGGGACGCUUUUAUUAGAUCAAAACCAAUCGGGCGCUCGCGUCCGUUUGCCUUGGUGACUCUGAAUAAAUUAUGGCAGAUCGCACGGUCUCCGUACCGGCGACGCAUCUUUCAAAUGUCUGCCUUAUCAACUGUCGAUGGUAGGUUCUGCGCCUACCAUGGUUGUAACGGGUAACGGGGAAUCAGGGUUCGAUUCCGGAGAGGGAGCCUGAGAAACGGCUACCACAUCCAAGGAAGGCAGCAGGCGCGCAAAUUACCCACUCCCGGCACGGGGAGGUAGUGACGAAAAAUAACGAUACGGGACUCAUCCGAGGCCCCGUAAUCGGAAUGAGAACACUUUAAAUCCUUUAACGAGUAUCCAUUGGAGGGCAAGUCUGGUGCCAGCAGCCGCGGUAAUUCCAGCUCCAAUAGCGUAUAUUAAAGUUGUUGCGGUUAAAAAGCUCGUAGUCGGACUUGUGUCACACGCUGCCGGUUCACCGCCCGUCGGUGUUUAACUGGCAUGCACGUGCUGACGUCCUGCCGGUGGCCCGAGCCGGGCCGGGAGCUCUUGGCGACGGUUCCUUUUAGGGGCCCCGCCUCGACCUCGGUCUCCGGGGAAGGCCUACUCAUACCCCUCGUUGUGCUCUUAACCGAGUGUCUCGAUGGGCCGGCACGUUUACUUUGAACAAAUUAGAGUGCUUAAAGCAGGCAGCAUCCGCCUGAAUACUGAGUGCAUGGAAUAAUGGAAUAGGACCUCGGUUCUAUUUUGUUGGUUUUCGGAAUCCCCGAGGUAAUGAUCAAUAGGGACAGACGGGGGCAUUCGUAUUGCGACGUUAGAGGUGAAAUUCUUGGAUCGUCGCAAGACGGACCGAAGCGAAAGCAUUUGCCAAGAAU